UCCCUGGUAGUCAAGUGGGUAAGACUCUGCACUCCGAAUGCAGGGGCCCAGCUUCGAUCCCUGAUCAGGGAA